GUCGGGUGAACGGCUUCUUCCUCUCUCCGCUCCUGGGAAGCUUCAUUCAUUUCACAGAGGCAAGCAACUGACUCCUGCACGUUCACCAGGGGCCUGCCUGCGUCCAGAGCUUUGGAAAAUUACUAAAACCUCCCUCCCGCCCACACCCAAUACGCGCCAGUGGCUAAAGCUGCCCAGCGCAUUGAGCAGGGUCCUUUAGGCUUCUGCGGCUCCCGACUGAGCACGAAUGAAACACCUGCUGGGAGGUACAGAAGACACACGUGCCGGUUCUCUGGGUGACUCAUGAAUAAAUGUGGAAGAUCAGACAAGAACCAGACUCGGGGUCAGGAGGCCCUCCUCAAGGCCCUGGACCGCCCUGGUGUUUUCCAUGUCUCCACUGGAAGGGUGGAGGGACUUGGUUAUUCGUCUAUGAAAAUCCUUCUCUUUUCAGUCUUCUCAAAGUGCGCACUGGUAGGCAUUUGGUCUAGCAGUGAAGACACUGGUGAGGAUGCCAUGUCUGCUAUCUAAGGGCCUGGGUUCGAUCCCUGGCUCCACCCCUUUAGUCCAGCUGUCAACUAGUCCAGCAGAUGUGGGGUGGCAGCAAUGGUAUCUCAGAUGGGUGAAAACUCGUACAUGGGCAGGUCUCCAGUUCCUGAAAUCCCGGCACAACGAAGUGAGGACGACCACAGGUGGCCGCGGCGUUCCCAUUUUCCAGGAGAGCCAGCUGAGUCAGAAGAGGUGUAACUUCCGGGGCUCCUUAGAGCCCCAAGGGUCUGCUCUGUCACUCCCAUCCUUUGCAUUCUCGUCAGAAGCCUUGGGGGAGCAGUUCCUGAGUACCAGACCCUGUGCUCAGUACGUGACCCUUCUUGUCCCCACAGCGACCUUGUGACUGCCGUUGCAAGUAAGGCAAAGGUUAGAAAGGUGAAGCCACUUGUCCAAGGUCUCACCUCUAGCAGUUGGCAGAGCCAGGAUUCAAACCCCAGUGUAGACAACUCCAAAGCGGCUGUGCUGUGCAGAGUCUGACUCGGAGCUGUCGCCAGCUGGGACGAGGUCCUCAGCCUGUGUGUGGUGGUCCACUGUUUCCCUGAGUGAAGCAGGGGGUUUCCGCCUCUCCUGGCUGCUCUAGACAGGGAGUCAGAAGCCAAGGAAGAACCCAGAGCCGAAGCUCCGGGCGUGGCCUGCCCGAUCCCUACGACCACAGUAAGCUGAGGGUUCCUGCGUCUUCUGCCUGCUGGGCUGUGCAGCCGUCAGCCAGGGCAGACCAGGUCUCAGCACCCCAGGCUGUGUGGCCUGGACAACAGCAGACAUGGGGAGUAGGGCCGGGAUGUGGCUAGGGUUCUCCGAUACUGUUCUCACUGUUUCCUGAUCGUCUGGGUUGGGAGUCGAAACGGCACCCUGUCCCGUCUCGGGCUGGGCAGUUCCCAUGGUUUAAGAAGGGGCUCGGGAAGCAGGGAGAGCGAGUUGUUGGGAACCUUCUGUGCUCUGAAAGUUGGCUAUAGUGUCUCCCGCAGAGCUGAGCAGUCCAGGUCUCUCCCUCGAACCCCAUCUUUUUGCUGGUCUUCCUCUAGCCACAGGGGAAGAGGCCAUGGGACCAGAAGGAGCCCAUGAGUCCCUCUCCCACGCCAUGCUGCAGGUACAUAGGGUGAUGGAAUUUCUGGCUCACAUGGCCUGGAGCCAUCUCCAGGGCCUGACCCGGCCUGCUGCCCCACCUGCUGGGGCCAGGCUGUGGCCCCCUUAGAAGAGGUUCAUUGCUUUAAAGCCUGUGGGUUGACUGCCCAUGCUUCCUCCCCGCCCCCCAACCCAGUCAGGGGCUUAUACCUCUCCAACCCUCAACCCUCCAGGCAAUGGAGGUUUGUCCUCUAAACUUUAACAGAAUGGACUCCUGCCUUGGGACCACUAAACUUAGGGGGUGCUCCACGGGGCUGCAAACAGGUUCCAUAACGAGCAGUGAGGCCCUCUCCCCACUCUGAUGCACCCCCCCCACCAGGCAUGUACCCUCCAGGGAAGCCUGGCCCCUGGCUACUGGGAGAUCUGUGCUGGGGUGUGGUUUGUACCUGAGGUUCACGCUGGAAGCUUGGGCCCCAGUGUUAGGAGGCGGUAUGAUGCUUCAGUGGUGGAGUCUGAUGGGAGAGAGGGUCACUGGGGCACCCCCUCAGAAGGGGUUAUGGUAUUUCUCCUGGGACCCCGGGUAGUUCUUGCGAGAAGGUUGAUGUGCACCCCUGAGCCCCACCACGAGCUGUGUCUCUCCGGCUUCCUGUUGCAAGAUGUGGUCUCUUGCCCUCAGUCCCACUCCUCCUGCUGCUGCCUGCAGCCAAGGGGGUGCUCCCCAGAGCUGAGCUGAGGCAGGCACCACAUUCUCCAGCCUCCAGAACUGUGAACGAAAUACACGUCUUUAUAGAGUA